rnacentral:rRNA from 1 species
AUUGAACGCUGGCGGCAGGCCUAACACAUGCAAGUCGAACGAGCGGCGGACGGGUGAGUAAUGUCUGGGAAACUGCCCGAUGGAGGGGGAUAACUACUGGAAACGGUAGCUAAUACCGCAUACCAUCGGAUGUACCCAUAUGGGAUUAGCUAGUAGGUGGGGUAACGGCUCACCUAGGCGACGAUCCCUAGCUGGUCUGAGAGGAUGACCAGCCACACUGGAACUGAGACACGGUCCAGACUCCUACGGGAGGGAGCAGGGGGGAAUAUUGCACAAUGGGCGCAAGCCUGAUGCAGCCAUGCCGCGUGUAUGAAGAAGGCCUUAGGGUUGUAAAGUACUUUCAGCGGGGAGGCGUUACCCGCAGAAGAAGCACCGGCUAACUCCGUGCCAGCCGCCGCGGUAAUAC